UACAUAGGUGACAAGCGUUAUCCGGAAUUAUUGGGCGUAAAGCGUAUGUAGGUGGUUUAUUAAGUCUGAAGUUAAAUACUGGUGCUCAACACCAGCCCGCUUUAGAUACUGGUAGACUAGAGUUACAGAGAGGUUAAUGGAACUCCUAGUGAAGCGGUGGAAUGCGUAGAUAUUAGGAAGAACACCAAAGGCGAAGGCAAUUAACUGGCUGUACACUGACACUCAGAUACGAAAGCGUGGGGAGCAAAUAGG
rnacentral:rRNA from 1 species